UUAUUACUCCCUUCGUUCGGAAUUAUUUGUCGCAGAAAUGAAUGUAUCUAGACGUAUUUUAGUUCUAGAUACAUACAUAUUCGAGACAAGUAAUUCCAAACGAAGGAAGUAUCCA
rfam:Triticum urartu cultivar G1812 contig1149220, whole genome shotgun sequence.